rnacentral:rRNA from 1 species
UACGUAGGGGGCAAGCGUUGUCCGGAUUCAUUGGGCGUAAAGAGCACGCAGGCGGUUUGGCAAGUCGGAUGUGAAAACCCGGAGCUCAACUCCGGACCUGCAUCCGAAACUGCCCGACUAGAGGUAGGUAGGGGAGAUCGGAAUUCCUGGUGUAGCGGUGAAAUGCGCAGAUAUCAGGAGGACACCGGUGGCGAAGGCGGGUCUCUGGGCCGAUACUGACGCUGAGGAGCGAAAGCGUGGGGAGCGAACAGG